rnacentral:tRNA from 3 species
GCCGGGGUGGCGGAAUGGUAUACGCAGUGGGCUUAAAACCCACCGACUGUCAAAGGUCAUGCGAGUUCGAAUCUCGCCCUCGGCACCA